CCCUACUUGAGUUGGUCUUUCAUUCCAAUGUGUCAUUUCUUUUUUAGCCAGACACAGAGAUAAAGAGUUGAUUAAAAGCUUUUAAGUGUUCUUUGUUAAAUUCUUUAUGCCGAGUAUCUCCUCAGAUAAGCCAUCUGAGCUUUACACUGAAGCACUGGCAAGCACUAAGCAAGUUGCUCAGUUAGAACAAUUUUAAAUCACAAAGGAGCACCACCAUUGAACAUCAACAGAAACAUUCUUCAGGAAGUCCUGAGAAGCACAGAAAAGCUCAUCACAAAGAGAGGAAAGCAGCAAGCAGCAAGCAGCAUAGAUGGAAUCACCUCUGCAAUUGAAUAAGCAAAUUUGGUUGAUGGAAUUCCAUCCCUCUUAACAAAAGGGACAUUCCAGUACAGAAAGGGGCAAGCUCUUCGUCUGGAGGACACACACAGCUUUCAGCAUUCAUAAGGAAGAGUUCUGUGCAACAGAGCUGGGGCCGGAAGCCAAUUUAGGGCUAAUGCAAAAUUCUCUGAGAGAGAAAAAAUGAAACACAGGUGUUGUGAGCUCCCUCACACACAGCUCUGCUCAAUUAUAGGGUGGUUUUGGUGGUUUCACACAAUGAGGACAGAUACGUCCACCAGGAACUAGCUUGAGAUCUCCAAGCUUGUUUCACCCAUGACCUGGCCUUUGCUUCCAUUUUUCAACCAUCUGAAGAGGUAAAAGAUGGCAAUAUUCCCCCUCCCCCGCCGAAUAUAAGGAUGUUUGAAUUCGUCAGUUUCAGCUUCUCUCAUUUUGCAAAUUGCAAGUUCAGUUUGCCUCAUUUCUAUAUCAGUUUGUUAUUGUUAUUAUUAAUAAUAAUUAUAAAAGUCCACACACAAAAACAUGUGCACACUUUUGUGCUCAUGUCUCCCAAUAUGCACAUUUU